UUCGCAAUGCCCGAAAGGGUGACGAAGCGACGCCGCGUGGGUGAGGAAGGCCCUCGGGUUGUAAAGCCCUGUCAGGAGUUAAGAAAUGUAAGUGCGCUAAUAUCGCAUUUAUUUGACGAAGGCUCCAAAGGAAGCCACGGCUAACUCUGUGCCAGCAGCCGCGGUAAUACAGAGGUGGCAAGCGUUGUUCGGAAUUAUUGGGCGUAAAGAGCACGUAGGUGGGUUUGUAAGUCAGAUGUGAAAGCCUUCUGUUCAACGGAAGAAUUGCAUCUGAAACUACAAGUCUUGAGUGUAGGAGGGGAGAAUGGAACUUCUGGUGGAGCGGUGAAAUGCGUAGAUAUCAGAAGGAACGCCGGCGGCGAAAGCGAUUCUCUGGCCUAUUACUGACACUCAGUGUGCGAAAGCUAGGGGAGCAAACGGGAUUAGAUACCCCGGUAGUCCCAGCUGUAAACGAUGGGCACUAAGUAGAGGGGUUUU
rnacentral:rRNA from 1 species